rnacentral:lncRNA from 1 species
UCUUCGUAUAGCACUAGAUGUGUUGCAAACAGUUUGCUUUACCUGUUUGUCGAUUUUUACUCGGGUGGAUCUUUCUAUGUUUUUUUGGUUCCGACGGUGGUCACCAUGAUCGAGGUUCCUACCAUCCUGUUCGGUCGAUCACGAGACCAUGGAAUAUCACGACGGAUUCAGUCGACGACCAAUGUAGUCAGACAGAAAGCUUGACAUUUGCAAAUGGAACAUAAGCACUCGGUGUUAGAGCCUCUGCCAGUUGACAAGGCCAUUGAU